rnacentral:rRNA from 1 species
ACAGUGGACGCGAGCAUCUUUGUGGUCAAAAUUAUUAAGUGCAGAUGGCGAAUGCCUUGGCACCAGAAACCGAUGAAGGACGUAUGAGGCUGCGAUAAGCCUCGGGGAGCUGCCAACAGAGCUGUGAUCCGAGGAUUUCCGAAUGAGGAAACUCAGCGCGAGUAAUGUCGCGUUAUUUCUCCCAGAACACAUAUGGGAGAUAAAGGGAACGUGGGGAAGUGAAACAUCUCAGUACCCACAGGAAGAGAAAACAAACGUGAUUCCGUUAGUAGUGGCGAGCGAAAGCGGAUCAGGCUAAACCAUUAAUGUGCCAAGCCGGCAGGUUUUGCAUUAAUGGUGUCGAGGGAUCGACUCGAAUUAACUGCCGUUAAUUCAACAAGUCAGAAAUUAAUGAAGUAGGUGAACGACGUGGGAAAGUCGGGCGUAGAAGGUGAGACCCCUGUAACCGAAACUUCAUUAACUUGUAGUUGAUAUCCCAAGUAAUACCGUACUCGUGAAAUCCGGUAUGAAUCUGGCGGGACCACCCGCUAAGCCUAAAUAUUCUCUGGUGACCGAUAGUGAACAAGUACCGUGAGGGAAAGGUGAAAAGAACCCCGCAAGGGGAGUGAAAUAGAAUCUGAAACCGUCUGCAUACAAGCCGUUGGAGCUACAUUAAGUAGUGACAGCGUGCCUUUUGAAGAAUGAGUCUACGAGUUAGUGUCAUGUGGCAAGGUUAACCCGUCGAGGGGAAGCCGUAGCGAAAGCGAGUCUGAAUAGGGCGCCAUAGUCGCAUGAUCUAAACCCGAAGCGAGGUGAUCUAGCCAUGGUCAGGUUGAAGCGUGGGUAAGACUGCGUGGAGGACCGAACCCACAAACGUUGAAAAGUUUGGGGAUGAACUGUGGUUAGGGGUGAAAGGCCAAUCAAACUUCGUGAUAGCUGGUUCUCUCCGAAAUGCAUUUAGGUGCAGCGUUGCGUGUUUCUUACCGGAGGUAGAGCUACUGGAUGGUCGAGGGGUCCUACAAGAUUACCAACAUCAGCCAAACUCCGAAUGCCGGUAAGUGAGAGCGCAGCAGUGAGACUGUGGGGGAUAAGCUUCAUGGUCGAGAGGGAAACAACCCAGAAUAGCAACUAAGGUCCCAAAGCCUGUGCUAAGUGGAAAAGGAUGUGAAGUCGCAUAGACAACCAGGAGGUUGGCUUAGAAGCAGCCACCCUUAAAAGAGUGCGUAAUAGCUCACUGGUCAAGUGAUUUCGCGCCGACAAUGUAACGGGGCUCAAGCACAGCACCGAAGUUCUAUCAUUCAAGCACUACCCCGAUCGCAAGAUCCAGGGGCUUGGAUGGGUAGGAGAGCGUUGUGUGGCUGGUGAAGCGGCGGAGGAAUCCAGCCGUGGAAGCCACACAAGUGAGAAUGUAGACAUGAGUAGCGAGAGAGGGGUGAGAAACCCCUCCGCCGAAAGACCAAGGGUUCCUGGGCCAGGCUAAUCCGCCCAGGGUAAGUCGGGACCUAAGACGAGGCCGUCAGGCG